GACGAACGCUGGCGGCGUGCCUAAUACAUGCAAGUCGAGCGAAUCUUUGGGAGCUUGCUCCCGAAGGUUAGCGGCGGACGGGUGAGUAACACGUGGGCAACCUGCCUAUAAGACUGGGAUAACUUCGGGAAACCGGAGCUAAUACCGGAUAAUCCUUUUCCUCUCAUGAGGGAAAGCUGAAAGACGGUCUCGGCUGUCACUUAUAGAUGGGCCCGCGGCGCAUUAGCAGUUGGUGAGGUAACGGCUCACCAAGGCGACGAUGCGUAGCCGACCUGAGAGGGUGAUCGGCCACACUGGGACUGAGACACGGGCCCAGACUCCUACGGGAGGCAGCAGUAGGGAAUCUCCG
rnacentral:rRNA from 1 species